rnacentral:snRNA from 1 species
AUCGCUUCUCAGCCUUUUGGCUAAGAUCGAAUGUAGUAUCUGUUCUGGUCAGCUUAAAAAAGAGAUGAGUUUGGCUUUUUUCCUGAUAAUAGUGGAAACUGAAUACUAGUAGAAUGCUCUAUUUCUACUUUGGGUGUAUAUUCUGUGCACACGUGAAUAUAUGCAGAAACAAAU